CAUUUGAAAUGAGAAUGAUUCACUUAGUGUAAAUUGAAUUGAUUCUGUAUAUGUGGAGGCCAAUAACUUGUAGUUCAUACCAGUUAAGCCCUUCCAAGUGUGAUAUUAGCUAACUUGGGAUAUGUGAUUGUUUCAGAAACUGUAAUGUCUUAAAGAAGUUCUCUGACAUGGGAGUUUCCACAAAAGAGACACCUUUGAAGAUAUUUUACCAUGACUUUUUCAAAUUGAAGAAAACAAUUGGACUUGGUACCAAGGAAAAUAUCAAGAUAGAAGCAAGUAAUUGGGAAAUGGCCUCUCAGACGCCAUGAAGUUAGUACCCCUUUUUUUUCUUCUGCCACUAGCCAUGGAUCUGCACUGUCACCUACCUCCAGCAAACUUGGUGGCUUGAAAACAUAUGUUUUGUUUUGAUUGUAUGCAGCCUUAUUUUUAGCUUGAGUUUAAGUGGACUAUGGAUUUAGUAAUAGUAUGUUCACGGGUUUCGAGAGUAAUUUCAAAUUGUAGUAGACAAAUAUAAUAUUUAUUCCUUAAUUACACUAGUAUUUGUCCAA